rnacentral:rRNA from 1 species
AUUGAACGCUGGCGGUAUGCUUAACACAUGCAAGUCGAACGGUAGCAGGCCUUCGGGCGCUGACGAGUGGCGGACGGGUGAGUAACGCGUAGGAAUCUGCCUGGUAGUGGGGGACAACUUAGGGAAACUUAAGCUAAUACCGCAUACGCUCCUUAUUGAAAGAUGGGGAGAAAGCGGGGGACCUUCGGGCCUCGCGCUAUCAGAUGAGCCUGCGUUAGAUUAGCUAGUUGGUGGGGUAAAGCCUACCAAGGCGACGAUCUGUAGCGGGUCUUAGAGGAUGAUCCGCCACACUGGAACUGAGACACGGUCCAGACUCCUACGGGAGCAG